UGGUGUUGAAAAUUUGCAGGCCUCCUUAUCGUGCAGCUAAAAUAAGCCGAGUUUGUUACUCCUCCGUGGUGGGGUGCUGUGGGCACUCCCUCAUGUCACUAGCUCUUGCCGGCCUGGUCAUCCUGGUUGGACAGCGUCGCGAGGCUGCACGUAUGCGACGCUGGUGGUCGAAGCUGCUGCUGCUGCUUUAUUUGCUCUCAGGUCUGAUGCCCACAACACGAGCCAAAGCAAAGGAGGACGUGGCAUUGCAGUGCGAGCUGUCUGGUUCAUGGGAAGAAGUGUGAAGAAUACCACCUUCCACCGCGUUUGCAACCUUUUUCCAUGUGAUUGAUGGAAGAAGAUCGAUGGGAUCGGGAGUGCGCCACGGUGUUCCAGAAUCACAAUUCUGAAAUCCAACCAAGUGUGCUGAGUAAGUUACUAUGACUUCGUCAGUAUGGUUUGAGGAUCGGUAUGUGUCGAUGCACCUGUAGUGCAAUAUUACGUUACUACAUUCCUGUGGGAUUGCAACUUUUUUUGCAUGUGAUUGAUGAAAGGAGAUGUGAUCGGGAGUGCGCUACGGUGUUCCAGAAUCUUGAUUCUGAAUCCCACCAAGUGUGGUUAGUCUAUGACUUGGUCAGUAUGAUUUGAGGAUCGGUGUCGAUGCCCUGUAGCACGACGUUACUUGCUUUUUGACAGUCAGGAUGAAGAUGCUAACUGCAGAGCUGAUGUUCUCGGUGCCCGAUUUUGGACCACCAGCAGAGUUCUACCACACGCCACAUCAGGUGCAAGUAGUUUAGCCAUAGCACAUCACCAAACAUAUAUAUAUAGAUAACAUAUUUUUCUCACUGCUGGUCAGUUUCCCUUUGUCAAAUGCGCCCGUCUGCCGUCAGGUUGCCUGCACGCAAGAGGCUUCAGGCCAAUUCUUGAUUACCAUACAGCUGAACUGAAGCUACACCUGACCUAAACCCGGCACGGUCCACACGGAUACUGCAGACAACGCUUGAACUGAAGCCUCUUCCAGGUUAUGAAAAAUGUUUGCUAGCUCAGGGGCGACCGCCUACAUGUCUUGUAUGUGUCGGAUGGAGACCCUUGCCAUAUGGCUCGCAAUCUUCAUGCUCAUACAUUUUGUUUUCGACGGGUCGCUUCGGUGAUUUGGUAUAGUGGUGCCGGUUGUUUGGUGCGGAUGAGCCCAGACUCCAGAAUGGUCCUCCGAAAUAGCCGGGCAGGACCAGAGAAUUGACGGUUCAAACAGUUGCUCUCUGCUUAUUGUCUUUCUGAUUUUUUUUUUGUGGGAAAAUUGAUUCCUCUGUUCAGGACAAGGCUUGGACGCAGCCUAGCAAAUCAAUGCACCCAGGGACAAAAAAAAAACCCUGCAGUCCAGAUUUGAUGUGUGCAAGUGCUGAAGAAGGCUCUGAUUAUCUACUCCCACUAUCAGCUCGAACACAACUCAAUCAUUCCAGGAACAGAGCUAGUGCGAGGCCAAGGAUUCCUAGGACUACUUGCAAGCGUGGUGGGGUGUUAGGUGCUGCUAACGUCAAUCCUUGGGAGAAUCCUUGGCCUUGGCCUUGGCCUUUUGAUUGUGCGUGGCGCCUUUGCCAUGCACGAGUUCGGCCGUUAGCGCGCGCAUGAUGAUGAAUUGAUGAUGCCUCCUAGUCGUAGGCCACGCCCGGUCCGGCCGGCCGGCGCAUGCAUCAGAUGCAUAUGCAUGAUGGAUGAUACCAUCCUGAUGCCAAAACUUUGUCAUAUGUCAUAACUUGAUCAUGCAAUCCAAGUAAAAUAGACUUGAUAGUUUAAAGCAAACUCAUCAUGCAUGUGCUUUGUUUCUUUGGGUUGUUGUCGCUGCUGCUGCAAUACAUACUCUUUUUGUAAAGAAAUACA